rnacentral:lncRNA from 1 species
AGUUCUUUUGAAGGAAACAAGGGGCUAUGUGGGUUUCCGCUGAACAGAACUUGCAAGAAUAAUUCAGCAGAUGCACCUUCUGAACCAGAAGUUGAAGAGGAAGAAUUCAUUUCAAUGACGGAGAUUUAUGUAAGUGCUAUGUUGGGAUUUAUUGUUGGUAUUGGGAUCAUCUUCCUACCACUUCUGUUCUCAAAAAGAUGGAACCAGUCGUACAACAGAAUAAUUAACAGAUUAAUUUUAAGGAUAUUUCAGCAGCAAAAUCAAGAAAAGAAAACUAGUAGCAGUAGUGUAGCAUCUUGGAAAAAGGCAGCAGGGAAAUCAAGAGGCAGACAUUAAUUUCACAGGAUGUAACACUUCCUUGCAGCAUGCUGCUCACUAUUAGUACUUCUAAUUGUUUCCACUAUGAGUUAUCUGUGUUUGUUUACCUUUCAUGAUUCAUUUUAGUUGCUUCUUAUUACAUAGAAGAACACAAAGCAAUCUUGCAUUCUGUUUUAGGUAACGGUCAGUGAAUAGCCAUAACUAAACUGAUAACAACCUUUCUCAUUUUUUAAGAAACAAAAGCCAACUAGGCCAUUUUCUAAGUACAAUAUAGUUUAUACAAGUUCUCCCUUAUCUUCGAAGUUAGAGUCGUUCUGCGCAGACAAUAAGACUUCUUGAAGUUCCUCACUGAUGUCUUUAUCGCCAUCCUGCUCUUCAGCCACUUCUUGUUGGGAGAACUUAUCCUGCCCUUCUCAGACAACGUCAACUGAGAUUUGACAGGCCGAUGACAAAUACCAGUUUUCUUUUAAAAUAAUUCCUUCUGAGUUUUCCAGUCAUCAGCUGUCUUCUUGACCAUGUCUCCUAUCAAUGUCUGGUUCUGUGUUAUGUGCUUUAUGUUUUCUACAUCCACCAUGUCACUAGCCCCUUUGAUAGCUAGAUCUUUGGCCUGUGCAUAUUCUGCCGAUUUUUGCUUGAGCAAAUCCACCUCAUAUCCAUGUGGGUGAAGUGCUCAAUCCGGCUAUUUGCAAAUAACUUUUGCACGCUAUUUGGAUACUUGCAUUUUGUAUUUCUUCCAGUUCAUCAUCUCCCCGAUGCCGAGGUUUCAUAUACAUCCACAAAGCCAAAAAGAAACAUGUUCCUAUCUAGUAUAUGUUUGACUAGAGCUGGGACUAGUUUAACAUCUUUGGCCUUUGCCUUAGCGACAAGACUUCUAAGAUUCUUCAACUCUCCCAGAGAUAUAUAAAUCUUGAAAGGAGGCAGGCCUGAAUGGCCGUCUCAUAAAGGCAAUAUAAUCCACCUAGUCUCCUUAAAAGAGAAUGAGUAGAGACUAUGUAACCACUGCAGUAUGCAUAGAGUGAUUGUAUAAAGCAUGCCUGAUCUUUAGAUGGACUAUAGGAGAACUUUUUAGAAAUCCACACUCUUCAUUUCUGCAAAAGUAGGAGAUCCACCCUUGGCAAACUCAUUUAUAUGCUCCUCGAUGUCUAAUUUGAAUGGCACAAUGUCCUUGUUGACUUCUUUUUCUUUUUUUUCUUUUUUGUCCUUGUUGACCGCCUUGACAUCAAAUUUUCAAAGGCAUUUGACAGCUUGUUGAACCUUUAAGCUUCCUGCUUAACCCUAAUUCUCUCCUUGCAAAUCCUUUAUGUCCAUUAUCCACGCUAAAUGGCUCCUGCACAAUUUUUGCCUGAAAGUGUAUGAUUUGGACAAAAGUUCAUCUACUAUACAGUAGAUAAUGUGGUACACUGGUGUGGGUACUUCACCCUUAACUAGAGGUUUCAGGUUCGAGCCCUGGAUAUGGAGAAAAUCAUGUUGGGAGCGCCACCCCGAAUGGGCCCUGCAGUGCGCAGUCCGAAUUUAGUCGAAGCUCCAAUGUGGGCUCCAGACACCGGAUGGAAAACCAAAAAAAAAUAAAAUGUAUUAAUGCAUAUUCAUGUAACGUUCUCAAAAGUAAACCAAAGUAUAUUCGAUCAGACUUCACAUUUGAUUUGAAAUUAACAGAAAAAUCAAUUCACGAAACAGAGUUUUGAGCUUGAAAACCUUGAUUAUGAAGGAUUCAGAGUUGAUUUCUAUGAACAAAGACAGCAUCCGAACUCAGAUAGUUCCUUCGAAUUCACAAGUCUGAAUGUUAAAUUAUGUCUUAAUCCUAACUCACCCACAAGUCUUACAAGGAGUCCAUCUAUCUCAAUAACCAGUAAUGUGGAAUUUUUGCUUUAACACCCACCUCACGCCCAGUGCCCUGUUGCGUGGACACUUUUGGGCAAUUUUUUACCACCUCACGCUUAGUGAUGUCAGUGCUUAGCAUCUUGUGCGUGGACAAUAAUUUGGGCAAUUUUUGAUUUUUUUUUUUUUUUUGGGCCGGUGAGAUAGCCUUGUUCUAAUAUCAUGUUAAAUUAGGUUUAAGCCUAAUUCACAUCCCAAAAACUAACUCUAACAGAGGAGUAUUGUUCAAACCUUAUAAGAGUCCACCAUCUCAUUAACCAUGACUUUUUGCUUUUAACACUGAAUAGCACACAAACUUUCAUGGUGGACAUAUUUAAGCUGAUCAACGAUCAAUCUGCAAAAAAAAAACAUCUAUGUAUACACGUAUUUGAUCAACGAGCUAUGAAGGUUUUCCCGCCAAAAAAACUUCGAGAAAGAGGGAAAAUGCCCAAGAAACGCGUUUGGUGUGUGUUUAUAAAAGAUUUGAAACCUACUAUUAAUAAGUACUACUAAUAAAUUUGUCAAUUUUAAUUUAAGAUUAACCCAGAUUACUCCAUUCAUCUCAAAAAUAAUUGAAUUGUUUCACCUCAUUUGAUAUUCAAAUUUCAAUUAUAUUUCGGUUGUCUCAAUUUAUAUAACAUCAGGUAAAUAAUAUUACUCCUGCUAUCCCAUAUUUUUUGUUUAGUGUGACAUAUUUUAUUUCUUAGUUUAUCAAAAAAUAAUAAUUAGAAAACUAAGAAAACAUUGUCAAUCUCAAUUUCUGAAUCAAAGGAGGGAAUACCGUAUUUAUAAAGUUAGAUAUGAGAUGUUAAUUUCACAUAGUACAAAGUACAAACUAAGGAGUAAGGAUGCUGUUCAAAUAACAAUGCUUGGGUUUUACACAGCUUAUGAUUGGAGUAUUUAUUUUUGUCAGAUGUUUUGUUUCUUACUUAAUAUAUAUAUAUAUUUGUGACACGUUUCAACAAAAAAAAAAAAAAAAACUAAUGAUGGGAAUAUAACUUUCUUACUACUAUAUACUAAGAUAAUUUCACAUGUAAAUAUAGACAAUAGUCAAAACAAAUAUAAGCAACAUCCAGUGGAAAACCGUGUAGGUCCACACUCCAGUUUCCACUGUCUAUCAAUUUCAAAAAUAAAUUGAUAUUAUAAGUAGACACGCGAUGUCAGCGUAUUUAAAAUAAUACAUAAAUUAAUCAUCUUGCUUUACUCAUGUUUGGUUGGCGCUAGUAUUUAAAAUAGGCAAAAAAUGGAUCUGUUAGCCCAAAAAAAUAAUUAUUCAAACAAAUCCUGCUGUUUAUUUGCGAGGAUUUUGCUAUUUUAUACGUUUCAGAUCUGAAGAAACUUGGAACUUCUUUUUCUGUUGAGAGUCCAAAUGAGAAGUGAAAUGUUUUCCCAGCUUUUCUUGAUCCUUCUACUCUCCAUCUGCUGUAAAACGAGUGAUGUAGUGGCAGCUAAUUCCAGUAAAUGUCUUGAGGAUCAGAAGAUGUUGCUGCUGCAGCUGAGAAAUAAGCUUACUUAUGAUUAUGAAAUAUCUACCAAGCUAGUGAAGUGGAGCCAGAUGAUUGACUGCUGUCAAUGGGAGGGUGUCACUUGCAACGGUGAAGGCCAAGUUAUUGGUCUUGACCUUAGUGCUGAAUCAUUCUCGGGCAGCAUCAAUCCGUUAGCUAAUCUCAAGUAUCUCUCUGUUAUCCGUCUUGAUGGGAACAAUUUAUCUGCACCAUUUCCAGAGUUCUUCGCGGAAUUCACCAAUCUAACUGUCUUGAGUCUAAGUUCCUGCAACUUGAUAGGAGAAGCACCUCAGAAGAUAUUCCAGGUACCAACUCUACAGACAAUUGACUUAUCAGUAAACGAUAUGCUUGGGGGUUCUUUACCUGAAUUUCCUUCAAAAGGAUCUUUACAAUCACUGGUGCUUACUGCUACAAAAUUUUCAGGAAUUUUACCCGAGUCCAUAGGGAACCUUAGGAAGUUGUCGCGUGUUGAACUUAGAGCUUGUAAUUUUAUAGGUUCAAUUCCAUCUUCUAUGGAAAAUCUAACCCAGCUUGUUCUUCUGGAUUUCGAGUUGAAUAGCUUCACGAGUUCAUUUCCAUCUUUUAAGCUGUCCACAAAUCUCACUCGUAUAUACUCUGCUGGAAAUAGAUUGACAGGUAUAUCAUCCGACUGGCAAGGCCUUGAGAAUCUUGAGUAUCUUGACUUGAGUAACAAUUCAAUUUCUGGUCUCAUUCCAGCAUCAUUGUUUUACCUACCCUCACUUUCAGAUUUAGUUCUGUCCAACAACAAGUUUUCUGGCCAAAUAACUGAAUUACAAAAUGUGAUUUCUCCACUAACAAGUCUUGACUUGAGUUCCAACAAAUUGGAAGGGCCAAUACCUGAGUUUUUAUUUGACCUGCAUGAUCUUUACGGUCUUUCACUUUCAUUCAACAAGUUUAACGGUACUGUACAGUUGAAGAAGUUCACAAACAUCAAUAAACUUGUAGAUCUUGAUCUGUCCCACAACAGUAUAUCAGUUGACACAAAUAUAAGUGAGUCGGACCUUGCCCUGCUACCCCAGCUGAACAGUUUCAUGUUAGCGUCAUGCAAUCUGCAGAAUAUUUCCUUCCUCAAGAACCAAUCAAAGUUGUCGAUGUUAGAUCUCUCAAACAGCCAACUUACGGGUGAAAUACCAAACUGGCUGGUGGAAAUCAAUGAUGGACUUCUCCGUUUUCUGAAUCUUUCUUUCAAUCAAUUCACACAUCUUCAAGAACCUUAUACAUUUGGCUUCCUGAAUUUCCUUGAUCUGCAUUCAAAUCUGCUCACUGGGGUUAUUCCAGUACCACCACGUGCAGCUGCUUAUAUUGACUUCUCCAACAAUAACUUUUCUACUUUUCCACCUGACUUUGGCAAUUAUCUAGUAACUGCUCGGUUCCUCUCAAUUGCAAACAACAAAGUUAUCGGUAGUAUCCCUUCUUCGAUAUGCAACUCCAGCUAUCUUGAAGUACUUGAGUUGUCUAACAACAGUUUGAAUGGCAUAGUACCACCAUGUUUAGCAGAAAAGAGCAGCACACUGAAAGUAUUGAACCUGGGAAAGAACAAUCUCAUAGGAAAUAUACCUGAAAAGUUUUCUUAUAAUUGUGAAUUACAGAGCCUUGACCUCAGUCAGAAUCACUUAACAGGUGUGCUUCCUCGUUCUUUGUCCAACUGCACAAAGUUAAAGGUAUUAAAUAUUGGAAACAACAAGAUCAAGGAUACUUUCCCCUGCUGGUUGAGGAACAUGUCAGAUCUUCGUGUACUUGUAUUACGCUUCAAUGGUUUCCAUGGGAACAUUGAUUGCUCACGAGUGAGUUCCAACUGGACCGCUCUUCAAAUCAUGGACCUAGCUUCCAACAAUUUAGGGGGUGUUCUUCCACGAGGUUCAUUCUUGGAGCUAAAAGGAAUGAUGGCGGACCCAUCUUUAACACAUUCACGGUCUGAUAUCUUGCAUUUUGAGUCUCAAUCUGUUAGGUCAGUAUACUAUCAGGACAGAGUCACUCUUUCUCUUAAAGGACAAGAUGCUACACAGACAAAGAUCUUUCUCUUCUUCACCUCCAUUGACUUUUCAAGCAACAAUUUUGUGGGGAACAUACCAGAGAUAGUUGGAGAUCUCAGAUCACUUAAUCUUCUCAAUAUUUCACACAACAAUCUCACGGGUCAAAUCCCUCCAUCAAUUGGAAAAUUGAAGCAAUUGGAAUCACUGGACCUCUCAUUCAACAAAUUAGGUGGCAAUAUCCCAGAAAAUCUUGCUAGCCUCACAUUUCUUUCCCUCAUAAAUUUAUCAUAUAAUGAAUUGGUUGGAAUGAUUCCACGAGGCAACCAAAUUCAAACAUUUGGAGAAAGUUCUUUUGAAGGAAACAAGGGGCUAUGUGGGUUACCGCUGAACAGAACUUGCAAGAAUAAUUCAGCAGAUGCACCUUCAGAGCCAGAAGUUGAAGAGGACGAAUUCAUUUCAAGGACGGAGAUUUAUGUAAGUGCUAUAUUGGGAUUUGUUGUAGGUGUUGGGAUCAUCUUUCUACCACUUCUGUUCUCAAAAAGAUGGAACC